UUCAUUCUAACCUACGUUGUUCGGGAAUCGAGUUUCAUUGAAGAAAAGUUGACGAAAUUCUUGGAUUCGAAAUGAAGUUUCCGAUUCGACAUAGUUUCUUCAGACUAAUACUUUUGAUGGAGGCUUGUUUAUUGAUUAAAGGAGAGGAUUGCAGGAUGGCCAUGGUUUGCGACGGGAAACCUACCUGGAAAGAUGUUAAUAAGAUACGACAGUGCACAAAGGAAGAAAAGGAAGCUUUGGACGCUUUAACAGAACAAGUAGACGAGACCAAAAAUAUGUUCAAUCAAUUAC